CAGGUUCUGAGGGCACCAUUGCCUUCGUGUAAGCCACCAACAGGGCUGACUGGGUUAUUUGCUGUGUGAGGCUCGGAAAUGGACGGAGCACGUCCAGCGCUUCCCUUGGAUUCCUCGCCAGGCACAGAGGAAAGGCUAUGGGAGCACAAAGCAAGAAAGUGGACUUCUGCAAGCCAGGAAGAAAGGCCUCCCCAGAAACCAACUCUGUGAGCACAUCGAUCUUUGACUUUUGGCCUCCAGAAUAUUGAGAAAAUAAAAGUCUGUUGUUAAGCCACCCAA